rnacentral:rRNA from 1 species
CCUACGGGGGGCUGCAGUGGGGAAUAUUGGACAAUGGGGGGAACCCUGAUCCAGCCAUGCCGCGUGUGUGAAGAAGGCCCUCGGGUUGUAAAGCACUUUCAGUGAGGAAGAACGCCUGGUGGUUAAUACCCAUCAGGAAAGACAUUACUCACAGAAGAAGCACCGGCUAACUCCGUGCCAGCAGCCGCGGUAAUACGGAGGGUGCGAGCGUUAAUCGGAAUUACUGGGCGUAAAGCGCGCGUAGGUGGCUUGAUAAGCCGGUUGUGAAAGCCCCGGGCUCAACCUGGGAACGGCAUCCGGAACUGUCAAGCUAGAGUGCAGGAGAGGAAGGUAGAAUUCCCGGUGUAGCGGUGAAAUGCGUAGAGAUCGGGAGGAAUACCAGUGGCGAAGGCGGCCUUCUGGACUGACACUGACACUGAGGUGCGAAAGCGUGGGUAGCAAACAGGAUUAGAUACCCUUGUAGUC